CCCUUAGAUGUUCUGGGCCGCACGCGCGCUACACUGAUGCGUUCAACAAGUUUCCUUGGUCGAGAGGCCUGGGCAAUCUUCUUAAUAUGUAUCGUGAUAGGGAUAGAUUAUUGCAAUUAUUAAUCUUGAACGAGGAAUUCCUAGUAAACGCAGAUCAUCAAUCUGCAUUGAUUACGUCCCUGCCCUUUGUACACACCGCCCGUCGCACCUACCGAUUGGAUGUUCCGGUGAAGCCUCGGGAUGAGGACUGGUGCCUUUAUUGGCAUGAGUUGUUCAGAACUUGUCUAAACCUUAUCAUCUAGAGGAAGGUGAAGUCGUAACA
rnacentral:rRNA from 1 species